GCGGGGUGCCUAAUACUGCAAGUCGAGCGAAUGGAUUAAGAGCUUGCUCUUAUGAAGUUAGCGGCGGACGGGUGAGUAACACGUGGGUAACCUACCCAUAAGACUGGGAUAACUCCGGGAAACCGGGGCUAAUACCGGAUAAUAUUUUGAACUGCAUAGUUCGAAAUUGAAAGGCGGCUUCGGCUGUCACUUAUGGAUGGACCCGCGUCCCAUUAGCUAGUUGGUGAGGUAACGGCUCACCAAGGCGACCAUGCGUAGCCGACCUGAGAGGGGGAUCGGCCACACUGGGACUGAAAACGGCCCAGACUCCUACGGGAGGCCACAAUAAGGAAUUUUCCGCAAUGGA
rnacentral:rRNA from 1 species